rnacentral:piRNA from 1 species
UCCUCUGAGAGGCAUUCUGUUAGUGGG